UACAGAGGGUGCGAGCGUUGUCCGGAAUCACUGGGCGUAAAGGGCGCGUAGGUGGUGGCUUAAGCGUGCGGUGAAAGCUCGGGGGCUCAACCCCGAGUCGGCCGUGCGAACUGGGCUCACUGGAGCAUAGUAGAGGCAGGUGGAAUUCCGGGUGUAGCGGUGGAAUGCGUAGAGAUCCGGAAGAACACCGGUGGCGAAGGCGGCCUGCUGGGCUAUGGCUGACACUGAGGCGCGACAGCGUGGGGAGCAAACAGG
rnacentral:rRNA from 1 species